rnacentral:tRNA from 1 species
GGGGUUGUGGCUCAGUGGCAGAGUGCUCGCCUCACACAUGUGAGGCACUGAGUUCAAUCCUCAGCACCA